AGAAAGCCAGGAUCAUAAACUGAAUGAACAGGACAACUGAAUAAAAAAAUUCCAUAUCUAUAUAAUACAUAUAUUUGCCUGAAAACUACAGAAAUAGAAUAUCAAUAAAUGCUCAAUAUAUGCACUUUUGAGAGUUCCAAAAUAUACUUAUGAAAGGGACACAUAUAAAAAGAAGAUAACACUCUUGAUCAAAAUGCAAAAAGUAAUAUCUUACAGGAUUAUAAUUCUUUUAUAUUAAUUACCCAACCAGGUGAUAGGUUGAUGAUGACGAUAAUCAUAAUAUACCUGAUACAAUAAAACUCUCAAAAAAUUUUGGCAGCAAAAUUCGAAAAGAAACAUAAUCCUGUAAGAUAUUAAAAUCUGAAUGUCAAAUCCAAAAUCGAUAUUUCAUAUAUGGAUUGCCACACAUAACUGACCUGGUAUUGCAGAUUGUGUACUAAUACUUGUUAAAGGAAUAUACAUUUUAGUUGCAUGAGAGUGAAUUACAAAGAAUGAGUAAUCAUUAUCCAUCGAGUUGUUAGUGUACUAAUACCUGCCGAAUUAGUGCAAACAGGGCCUCUUGUGAAGGAGUUUUCGCUUCGGUUCUGCCUGAGAUCACAAAAGGCUAAACUCAUAUCUGUCACCUAACAUCCUUACUCGAAUCUCACUGAAAUAAUCUUCUGCAGCCCAACCAUCAUUAGAAAGCAAUAAGAGGCCAGUACAACCACAUCCAAGCAUGUUGUAAAACCAAACUCAUCUCUAGCGAUUAUCAAAUUCAAAAAAAUCAUUAACAUCCAUAAAAAAUAUCCUAAAAUAAAGCGGACACAUAAUAUCAUAUAUAUACACACCCUAUGUUAUAUGCACCACUAUAUGUUUAAUAUACAUCUAAAAAAAUAACAAUAAUGAUGCCAACAAAUGAUGGUUCAACAGUAAAACUAAAUGUUUCAAUUGUUUUCAUCCAUGCUGCUUCAUCUUGAGUACACGGAUAUUAGUACCCAUCGCUGAAAGUA
rnacentral:lncRNA from 1 species